rnacentral:rRNA from 1 species
UUUAACAAAAACAUCGCCUCCAGGAACUUAUAUAUUGGAGGUACUGCCUGCCCAGUGACUCUGUUUAACGGCCGCGGUAUUCUGACCGUGCAAAGGUAGCAUAAUCACUUGUCCUUUAAAUAGGGACUAGUAUGAAUGGCAAAACGAAAAUUUAACUGUCUCCUUUAUUGAGUCAAUAAAACUGAUCUUUUCGUACAAAAGCGAAAAUAUUAAUAUAAGACGAGAAGACCCUAUGGAGCUUUAAACACGUCAUCAACUGUAAAUUAAAACUACACCCAUGAUUGACUGUUUUCGGUUGGGGCGACCACGGAGAAAAUAAAACCUCCGAAUUAAAUGCUUAGAACACACACCAACGCGCUAGGAUAUCUAAAUUUAUUGACCCAAUAAACUUGAUCAACGAACCAAGUUACCCUAGGGAUAACAGCGCAAUCUUAUCUGAGAGUCCCUAUCGAAGAGAAGGUUUACGACCUCGAUGUUGGAUCAGGAUAUCCAAGUAGUGCAACCGCUACUAACGGUUUGUUUGUUCAACAAAUAAAAUCCUACGUGAUCUGAGUUCAGACCGGC